UACGUAGGUCCCGAGCGUUGUCCGGAUUUAUUGGGCGUAAAGCGAGCGCAGGUGGUUUAUUAAGUCUGGUGUAAAAGGCAGUGGCUCAACCAUUGUAUGCAUUGGAAACUGGUAGACUUGAGUGCAGGAGAGGAGAGUGGAACUCCAUAUGUAGCGGUGAAAUGCGUAGAUAUAUGGAGGAACACCGGUGGCGAAAGCGGCUCUCUGGCCUGUAACUGACACUGAGGCUCGAAAGCGUGGGGAGCAAACAGG
rnacentral:rRNA from 1 species